ensembl:lncRNA
CCGACACACAGAGACCGACACACAGAGACCGACACACACACACACCCUGACACACACACACACACUAAGAUCUGUUGCUUAACGUCAACCUGAUUCAAAAUUUUAUGUACAGAAUAUAACUUUGUUUGUGAAGACACAGUAAGGCAUUUUAAAUGGUUAGUUAGUUGUACAGAACAUGCAAUUGUCACAUCAUUCAAAUCAUUGGCAUUAGCUAAAUUAGGCGUGUGUUGUGCAUCAUCAUUUGAUUUCAAUGCUGUAUCUAUAUUCUUGAUUUUGUUCGUUGGCUUUUCAGUUCAGUACUUAAACUUUACAAAAUAAAGUGCAGACCGUGGCUUUUCAAAUGUCAAGUUUAUUGUUACUGUGUAGCUAAUCAGGUUAACAGUGAACUCUGUUGAAGGUACAGUGGUGUCGCCUGAUUUCUGUGUUAUGAAAUGGCAGUGAAUGAUUUUGGCGCUGAAUUUAAUGGUUGUAGGCCAAAGAAACUUUUUUAUUUGUCUUUCACUGCAUUAUGUUCAUACACAUUGCGCUCCCGUAUAACUGGCCUUGUAGUCGUGUCAGACUGGUGCCCAGGGCUCGUGCUGCAGGGGAGACGCUACCCAGAGUGCAGCAGGGGAGACGCUACCCAGAGUGCAGCAGGGGAGACGCUACCCAGAGUGCAGCAGGGGAGACGCUACCCAGAGUGCAGCAGGGGAGACGCUACCCAGAGUGCAGUAUUUGAACACGGAUGUAUAUUGGCACACAGUCUAUGAGCUACAAAGCUUUUAUCAGUCAGCUGUCCUGUUAGAUGCUAUGGACACGAUUCUUAGUUUCACACACACACACACACUUUCUUGUCCUGGCAUGAGUUAGAUGCUCUGCACCACUAGUGGUUGUUCCUCCUUCCCUAAAGAGUCCUGGAUAUUGAUACAGUUCUGACAGCACAAGCCCCACUGAACAGCCCUAGUGAGCUUUUCGCCAGCUUUGUUAAAAAAUACUUUUGGUGUUUCUCUGAAUCAAGCCUUAACACCUCAGAAGUCCUCAAUAUCUACACAGUGAUUUAAUAACAAAUGACAACUCUGAGCUAUAUCUUCUGUUAUGAACACUUCUUAGAGACAAGUUUCUUCAACGGUUUGAAUUCCCUGAAGUCACAAGAUCUACAAGUGCGUGACUGAACUCAGGGAUUUGGGAGGGGCACUGAUGUACUUUAUGAUCUGUAAACACAGUUGGUUUACUGGCAUGAAGUUACGAACCAGGGAGAGCUAUUACCUGAUCUAAAUCAAAGGUACAUACCCUUUUAUGUUUGUCCUUAUGAGUUUCAAUCGUUUUGGUAUUGGUAGUACUAGGGGCUAUUGCAAAGAGUAUGAUUUAGUGAUACUCUACAGUUGUCUAAAUAGAGAAUAUGCAGCUAAAAUCUAGAACAAGCAUCAACGAGUGUGUUUGGAGAAACACACUGGGCACCAUCCCCACCUGUGGCUUCUUCAGGGGAAACGAGGAGGACAUUGUUAGGUGAAAAUUCACAUUAAAGUUCACCUCGGACUCUGGACUUGUGUAUAGAUCUCUUUAUUCAAUAUGCAUAUGGGGCUCACUCACAUCUUACCAGACGAGAGAGAAGCAAAGUUAAACGCAUCACACAAGGAUAAAGGUUGAAGUUGGCGUCACUGACACCAACGCCAUAUCUGGCAGUGAUAACCACGGGGUGGGUUCCCACGUCCAAGGUCAUAUUCGCCCUAAAAUGUACAGACACAACUUAUGCAACUAUGCUUUUUGCAAACGUUUUGGUUUACAAUGUUCCAGAUGUAGAAAAGAAGAACAAUCCGUUCUUCUUUUCAGCUCUCGCUUACACACACAGAGUGUACACUUUUAAGCAGUGGCGGAUUAAGCCUCGGCUGGCCCUAAGGCACAUUUCGAAAUUUCAGAGAAUGGCCUGAACAAUUUAAAUUAGAUCUCGGGCUCAUGAAAAUAGACCCCAGACAAAAGAGGAACUGAUUCAUGAACAAAAAAGACAAAUAUUUAAUGUGAAAAGAAACUACUUUCAAACUAGUUUAGUCUGUACAAUUUGCAGUGUAU